GGGGAUUUGGCUCAGUGGUAGAGCGCUUGCCUAACUAACAAGCGCAAGGCCCUGGGUUCGGUCCCCAGCUCCG
rnacentral:tRNA from 1 species